CGGGUCGUAGCUCAACUUGGCGGAGCACGCGGUUUGGGACCGCGAGGAUGCAGGUUCGAAUCCUGUCGACCCGA
rnacentral:tRNA from 1 species